rnacentral:rRNA from 1 species
AUUGAACGCUGGCGGCAGGCCUAACACAUGCAAGUCGAGCGGAUGACGGGAGCUUGCUCCUUGAUUCAGCGGCGGACGGGUGAGUAAUGCCUAGGAAUCUGCCUGGUAGUGGGGGACAACGUUUCGAAAGGAACGCUAAUACCGCAUACGUCCUACGGGAGAAAGCAGGGGACCUUCGGGCCUUGCGCUAUCAGAUGAGCCUAGGUCGGAUUAGCUAGUUGGUGGGGUAAUGGCUCACCAAGGCGACGAUCCGUAACUGGUCUGAGAGGAUGAUCAGGCACACUGGAACGGAGACACGGUCCAGACUCCUACGGGAGGCAUCAGUGGGGAAUAUUGGACAAUGGGCGAAAGCCUGAUCCAGCCAUGCCGCGUGUGUGAAGAAGGUCUUCGGAUUGUAAAGCACUUUAAGUUGGGAGGAAGGGCAGUAAGUUAAUACCUUGCUGUUUUGACGUUACCGACAGAAUAAGCACCGGCUAACUCUGUGCCAGCAGCCGCCGCGG